rnacentral:tRNA from 2 species
GGGGCCAUAGUGUAGCUUGGUCUAUCACUAAGCGUUUGGGACGCUUGAACCCCGGUUCAAAUCCGGGUGGCCCCA